rnacentral:rRNA from 1 species
GGGACGCUUACCACUUUGUGGUUCAUGACUGGGGUGAAGUCGUAACAAGGUAGCGCUAGGGGAACCUGGCGCUGGAUCACCUCCUUAUACGAUGAU